GAAAACACCUGGAAAGGGAAGACACUGUUUCUGAUGUAUAAGGCCAAGCCAGCAUGGCACGGACAGAGGCCUCUCCAUUUGCACACUGUGUGGCUGGAAGAGCCAGCCUUCUCCGGUUCGGUUCCUGCCUGAGGGGCAUCCCGUUCAGCCAGCCGCCAAGAUGCCCUCAGUGGGGAAGGUGACUCAGGUUCCCAGCGGAAAAGUCUACCAGCAGAUCUUCGAGGCUGAGGUAGGUGUGUCCCUCUGUGCCCCCUUCCCUGUGCUCCCCAACCUUCCCU
rnacentral:lncRNA from 1 species